rnacentral:lncRNA from 1 species
GCGGCCCGCCGCGUUUGGCUGCUGUGGUUGUGCCUUCCCCUGGCCUGGGCUCUGCGUUCGCCGCAGGAGACUUCGGGGCACGGUUUGACCAUCAGCUGGGAUGGAGAAGAAGCCGACACUGCUGCAUCGCUGCCUUCGGAAAGCUCUGAUGUGACGCGCAGACGGAGACGCCUUGAAACGCAAGCUUGCCCUGAUUGCUUUGACAUCCUUUCGCCUCCCGUGGAUAACCAACCUGCUGCUGUCCUGGGGCCAUAGAGGAGCGCUGCUGGGCUGCGGGGGCUCCCAGCAGAAGGAUGCCGUUCCCGGGGCACAGAGCUGUGCGAAUCCCCAAACCAGCAAGAGGUCUGAGUGGAGAGGAGUGGAUCUGCAGAGGUGAUCCUGAGCCGCAGUGAGGAAGUCUUAGAGCUGUGUGUCAGGACAGCGUGGGGCUCCUGACCUUUUUGGAUGGAUGCGAGGAGGCGAUCGGGGCACAAGAAAGGUCUGUGCUGGCAGACGCCUGGCUGUGGCUGCAACCAAAGCUGCUCCUUCCCGAGCUGCCCUGCAGGAUGACUUCACUCUGCAUGGGAACGUUGGCUUUCUGCAGCUUCCACCUCUGGGCCAGAGGCUCCAAGAAGAAGGAGACAGGAGAGAGCAGAGCACAGGCCCCAGCAAAGAGGAACGAGCAGGCGUAAGUCUGCGUGUAGUCAUACAGCCACCCUGCAGGAGAGGAGAUGGUUAUUGAGGCUGUUGGGUUUUUCUCGCUGACAAUCACUUUGGGGAGGUGUGUGGGAAGCAGGGGAUGUGUGCUCUCGUUUGAGAACGCCUCAGAGAUUUUCUGUAGGUUGCCUUAACCCUUUGUGUGCCCGUGGCUGUGCAGCUGGCACGUGGCAAUCAGUGCAACAGGCAAACAGCGUGCAAAC